rnacentral:rRNA from 1 species
ACGGUUGUAAAGCACUUUCAGUAGGGAGGAAGGUAGUGUAGUUAACACCUGCAUUAUUUGACGUUACCUACAGAAGAAGCACCGGCUAACUACCGUGCCAGCAGCCGCGGUAAUACGGAGGGUGCGAGCGUUAAUCGGAAUUACUGGGCGUAAAGCGCAUGCAGGCGGCCUGUUAAGUCAGAUGUGAAAGACCCGGGGCGUUAACCUCGGAAUUGCAUUUGAAACUGGCAGGCUAGAGUCUUGUAGAGGGGGGUAGGAAUUUCAGGUGUAGCGGUGAAAUGCGUAGAGAUCUGAAGGAAUACCAGUGGCGAAGGCGGCCCCCCUGGACAAAGACUGACGCUCAGAUGCGAAAGCGUGGGGAGCAAACAGGAUUAGAUACCCCUGGUAG